rnacentral:rRNA from 1 species
AUUGAACGCUGGCGGCAGGCCUAACACAUGCAAGUCGAACGCGUGGCGGACGGGUGAGUAAUGUCUGGGAAUCUACCUUAUGGAGGGGGAUAACUACGGGAAACUGUAGCUAAUACCGCGUACCAUAGGAUGAGCCCACGUGGGAUUAGCGAGUUGGUGAGGUAAAGUCUCACCAAGCCGACGAUCGCUAGCUGGUCUGAGAGGAUGACCAGCCACACUGAGACUGGGACACGGACCAGACUCCGACGGGAGGCAGCAGUGGUGAAUAUUGCGCGAUGGGGGAAACCCUGACGCAGCCAUGCCGCGUGAAUGAAGAAGGCCUUCGGGUUGUAAAGUUCUUUCGGUGGCGAGGCGUUAACUACAGAAGAAGCACAGGCUAACUCCGUGCCAGCAGCCGCGGUAAUAC